UCGAUUUCUUCGGAUUGAAAUUUUAGUGACUGAGUGGCGGACGGGUGAGUAACGCGUGGGUAACCUGCCUCACACAGGGGGAUAACAGUUGGAAACGGCUGCUAAUACCGCAUAAGCGCACAGCUUCGCAUGAAGCAGUGUGAAAAACUCCGGUGGUGUGAGAUGGACCCGCGUCUGAUUAGCUAGUUGGUAAGGUAACGGCCUACCAAGGCGACGAUCAGUAGCCGACCUGAGAGGGUGACCGGCCACAUUGGGACUGAGACACGGCCCAAACUCC
rnacentral:rRNA from 1 species